GAAGGGAGACACCUGAGAUAUAGGUAAGGGGAGACACGUAAGAGACACAAGUGAGGGAAGACACAUGAGAUACAGGUGAAGGGAGACACCUGAGAUAUAGGUAAGGGGAGACACGUAAGAGACACAAGUGAGGGAAGACACAUGAGAUACAGGUGAAGGGAGACACCUGAGAUAUAGGUAAGGGGAGACACGUAAGAGACACAAGUGA